CGCCGUGCCGGGCGCUUGUGGCGCCGCGAUCGCGGUAACGGUGCGGGCCCGGUGCGGGCCCGGUGCGCUCCGCUCAGCUCAGCUCCCUUCCGCUCCUCUGUGCUCCGCUCCGCCAUGGCAGCGCCACCCACAGGGCUUGCCAAGUAGAGAUCCCUGCAGUCCUUCUUCAGACUGUCUGGCCAAGCUGCCUCUGUCCACGUCCUUCAGGAGCCUGGGCCCAGCUGAAUUCCACCUGUGACCCUUCUCAGCAGAGCGAGGACAUCGGGCACGGGGGCUGAUGCAGAGGAGGCUGCAUGGCAGUGAGCUGGGACUGAUUGAAUCUCUGCCCUGUGCCAUUGGGGUCACACCUGUGUGGCACCUGUGCCUCCCUGUGGGUGGUGGUGAACCUGAGUUACCUGGUGUUUUGUGCCACGGGGAGAGGCAGAGUGUAAGGAUCAGGCUUUGUGAUGCUGCUGCACGCCUUUGAUGUAGUUUUGGUGUUGCAUAGGUUUUUUGGCAGCCUCUCUUUUGUUCACAGUGUUCUGUUAGCGUGAGGGCCAGCCUUUCACUGUUGGAGCUGGUGAUUCCAGGGGGAUUUAUUUCUGUUUAGGUUUGGAACAGCACAGAAGGGAAGCAGUGCUGCUCUCUGAGGUUGCCUGGCUGCGGGCAGGCAUGGCCCAGCCCCUGCCCGCGCUGGCUGUUCGCUGCUGCUCCCCGCGGGCGCCGGGGUGUUGCUGCAGGCUGCAGGGGUGAUGCGGUAGCGGCGGGGCCGGCUCCGGCUGUCUCACCGGCUGUUCCUGGCACGGAGCGGCGGCGCCAUGGCUCGGGCAGCCCCCGAGGAGGCGCCGGGCUCCUCGGGCAAGCACUACGUGUGCGGGCUGUGCGCGGCCUUCACCAACAUCGCGGUGACGUUCCCCAUCCAGAAGGUGCUGUUCCGGCAGCAGCUGUACGGGCUGCGCGCCGGCGAGGCCGUGCGCCAGCUGCGCCGCGACGGGCUGCGCACGCUCUACCGCGGCAUCCUGCCGCCGCUGCUGCAGAAAACCACCACGCUGGCCCUCAUGUUCGGCCUCUACGAGGAUUUCUCGGCGCUGCUGCUGAGCCACGCCCGCGCCCCCGAGCUGCUGACGCGCAGCGCAGCCGCCGCGCUGGCCGGCACCACCGAGGCCGUGCUCACGCCCUUCGAGCGCGUGCAGACGCUGCUGCAGGACUACAAGCACCACGACAAGUUCACAAACACUUACCAGGCUUUCAGGGUGCUGAGGGCCUACGGGGUGCGGGAGUACUACCGGGGAUUGGUGCCCAUUCUGCUGCGGAACGGGCCCAGCAACGUGCUCUUCUUCGGGCUGCGCGGGCCCAUCAAGCAGUGUCUGCCCGAGGCCACCUCGCACAGCUCUCACCUGAUCAACGACUUCAUCUGCGGGGGGCUGCUGGGCGCCCUGCUGGGCUUCCUCUUCUUCCCUGUGAACGUGGUAAAGACUCGCAUGCAGGCUCAGAUCGGUGGCGAGUUCCAGUCCUUCUCCAAAGUGCUGGUGAAGAUCUGGCUGGAGCGCGACAGGAAGGUGAUCCACCUGUUCCGAGGAGCCCACCUGAACUACCACCGCUCUGUGCUGUCCUGGGGGAUCAUCAACGCCACCUACGAGUUCCUGCUGAAGCUGCUGUGACCCGUCCUGCUUGAGGGGCACCAGCACUCAGCGUCCCCGGUCCCAGGGAGCAGUGCCUGUGCCUGUGGCAGUAUUCCUUUGCUGGCAGGCGAGUUUGCCCAUAACAGAGCUACCAGACAAACACAAGGUGUAAAAGAGGAAAGAGAUGUAGUCUGUAUCACUCCCAAAAUUGCGCUAUGCUCUGUGGUGGGAUGCACUCCACUGCCCAUGUUUAGAACAUGAGAAUCAAGGAGGAGCUGAGGAAAAACAAUUCCAUUGCCUGAUCAUCUUCCCAGUCUCGAUUUUGGAACUGCAUUUUCGGAUGUUUUGGGGUCCUCAUUACUUUGUGCGAAGCUCAAAGGACAUCGAUAGAGAAGGGGAUGGCUGAAGUGCAGAGCUCCCAGCUGCACCUCAGCCUGCUGCAGCCGCUGCAGGGUGCAGCCUGUGGUGACCAUGUCCUCCAGCCGUGGCACUGAACGCGUGACCUCAGCCCAGGCUGGAUCUGUGUGUGUUGUGUGCGUGCUUGUACGUGUGCCUUCCUGUCAAAAGGGAAAAGUGGAAGGAAUGGGACAGCAAACUCACUAAAGCUUUAAAGUGUCCUUCCUCGUUAAAAAACUUGGGAGUUUGUUCUGCUUUUUCCGAGGAUUUUUUAUUUUUUAAUUGCUGCUUUUUCUGUUGCCUCCAGCUGCAGGAUCAGGGAGGUGUCCCUGUGUGUAAGGACACUCCAGCUCCUGCCGCUGCUCAAGCACUUCACAGGCUUUUUGCACUGCCACGUCUUGUCUUUUCUCAGCUCCCUCUGUGGAGUUACCGAUCACGAGGUGUUUGUACCCAAAACUCGGGGUUCUGUCUGCUUGGUGUGUUCUGUUAAAGGUUCUGCAGCACAGGAGUGGCACGGGCAAGGUGAGAGUCCUGGGUGACCUGCUUCAGUGGAGGUCUGUAGGUAUAGUGGAGACGAAAAGCCAAAGAUGACCUUGGAAGCAGGGAGCAGGAAAGGUGGAGUGCUUGGGGAUGUGUUUCAGGACUUCUGUUGGCAAACUUUGAAAGGGACUGACAGCAAUCUGUGUGUUACGGACACAGGAGAUGAGAGAGAGGAGACUUGAGGCUUUAGAUACAGGGACAGAAGAGCGAGCACAACCCUGAGCUAGAUGAGGGUCCCAGCAGAAGUGUUUGAGUCUCCCUGAGGGCUUCCUCUUCAAUUAAACUACACAUUCACAUAUAAACCAAAACACUUUGGAUGAUCGGGAGCAGCAAAGCUUUCAGACACUGCUUUCAAUUUAGUCUUUACCUAAGUCUUGGAGGGGCUAUUGCUUUUCUGAAUUUGAGUUUUCCAUUUGCUAAAACUGUCUUCCAAAAUUGAUUCUAAUCAGUGUGUUGUAAUCAUACAGUCCUGAGCUUCAGACAGCAUGGGUGGGCACAAGAGCGAGUUCCUGCAUCCCAGUGGUGAUUAUCCAUCUAAAUAAAAUGUUUACUGGAUGUUUGUUACUGGCAGAAUCUGAUUUUUACCAGUGUACCUUCUUUUUGUAAUCACUCCUUGAUGGAAUAAAAACAAAAUCUGCAUCCUG